UCUCACUGAUUUAAUUUUAUGUAUUAUGCAAUGUUUAUUAAUAUCUAGGUUCUGAGUCAUUGCAACAUUUACCAUAACUGUUACCAUCCAGCCUUAUCCUAGCUAUUCGGGGUUGGAUUUGUGGAUCCUCAUUUGCCAAGAUCAAAAAUUUUGGUCCAUGUCGUAAUUUGACAUAUGUUAAUGUUUGUCUGUCAGCCUAACAUCAAUCCUUCACCCUUCUCAUAUGGGCCAGCCAUGAAGGUGUUCUUCAUCUCUUGGAAGUACAUUUCCAAUCCCUUGUGUUGUAUGGUAUAUGCCAUAGUGGUCACGAACUUUACAAGGAUUACAAGAUUCAUCGAGAUGAGAUUCAUACAAAGCUGGUUCAGAUAAUGAGGGAAAGAUUGUUGGCAAAUCUUCGCAAGCUACCUCAAAUUGUUGAGAGUUGGAAUGCACUGGAGGAUAAUGAUUUACAACCUAGUCAUUUUGCUCGAUCAGUCACCAAGGAAGUUACAUAUCUCCAUCGUAUUUUGUCUCAAACACUGCUUGAGGCUGAUGUUCAAGCAAUUUUCAGGUGAAGAAUUUGACAUGUAUAAAAUCAAUAACCUUGAAGUCCAUGUUCAGUGUCAGAUGAAUGCUUUGUUAGGUUUGAUGCAUAUCCCUCUUUUCAUUGGUAGGAACAUGACUUGAAAUAGAAUUACACUAGGAUAAAGAAAACUAAUAUGUUAUUAAUCAAGGCUGUUAAAUGGGAGAAUGUGUGUAGAUCUACAGUUGGGACUUGAUAUC